rnacentral:rRNA from 1 species
GACGAACGCUGGCGGCGUGCUUAACACAUGCAAGUCGAACGGAAAGGCCCUGCGUUUGUGGUGCGCUCGUGUGUCGCACGCGUGUGUAACACGUGAGUAACCCCCCCCUGACUUUGGGAGAAAUCUAGGAAAAUGGGGCUAAUAUCGGACAGGAGCUCCUGCGGCAUGGUUGGGGUUGGAAAGAUUCGGCGGUUGGGGACGGACUCGCGGCCUAUCAGCUUGUUGGUGGGGUAGUGGCUUACCAGGGCUUUGACGGGUAGCCGGCCUGAGAGGGUGACCGGCCACAGUGGGACUGAGAUACGGCCCAGACUCCUACGGCAGGCAGCAGUGGGGAAUAGUGCACGAUGGGCGGAAGCCUGAUGCAGCAACGCCGCGUGCGGGAUGACGGCCUUCGGGUUAUAAACCGCUUUCGCCUGUGACGAAGCGUGAGUGACGGUAAUGGGUAAAGAAGCACCGGCUAACUACGUG